GUAGUAGACCUUACAGUGAAAUGCUGAAUACAACAGGUGUAGUAGACCUUACAGUGAAAUGCUGAAUACAACAGGUGUAGUAGACCUUACAGUGAAAUGCUGAAUACAACAGGUGUAGUAGACCUUACAGUGAAAUGCUGAAUACAACAGGUGUAGUAGACCUUACAGUGAAAUGCUGAAUACAACAGGUGUAGUAGACCUUACAGUGAAAUGCUGAAUACAACAGGUGUAGUAGACCUUACAGUGAAAUGCUGAAUACAACAGGUGUAGUAGACCUUACAGUGAAAUGCUGAAUACAACAGGUGUAGUAGACCUUACAGUGAAAUGCUGAAUACAACAGGUGUAGUAGACCUUACAGUGAAAUGCUGAAUACAACAGGUGUAGUAGACCUUACAGUGAAAUGCUGAAUACAACAGGUGUAGUAGACCUUACAGUGAAAUGCUGAAUACAACAGGUGUAGUAGACCUUACAGUGAAAUGCUGAAUACAACAGGUGUAGUAGACCUUACAGUGAAAUGCUGAAUACAACAGGUGUAGUAGACCUUACAGUGAAAUGCUGAAUACAACAGGUGUAGUAGACCUUACAGUGAAAUGCUGAAUACAACAGGUGUAGUAGACCUUACAGUGAAAUGCUGAAUACAACAGGUGUAGUAGACCUUACAGUGAAAUGCUGAAUACAACAGGUGUAGUAGACCUUACAGUGAAAUGCUGAAUACAACAGGUGUAGUAGACCUUACAGUGAAAUGCUGAAUACAACAGGUGUAGUAGACCUUACAGUGAAAUGCUGAAUACAACAGGUGUAGUAGACCUUACAGUGAAAUGCUGAAUACAACAGGUGUAGUAGACCUUACAGUGAAAUGCUGAAUACAACAGGUGUAGUAGACCUUACAGUGAAAUGCUGAAUACAACAGGUGUAGUAGACCUUACAGUGAAAUGCUGAAUACAACAGGUGUAGUAGACCUUACAGUGAAAUGCUGAAUACAACAGGUGUAGUAGACCUUACAGUGAAAUGCUGAAUACAACAGGUGUAGUAGACCUUACAGUGAAAUGCUGAAUACAACAGGUAUAGUAGACCUUACAGUGAAAUGCUGAAUACAACAGGUGUAGUAGACCUUACAGUGAAAUGCUGAAUACAACAGGUGUAGUAGACCUUACAGUGAAAUGCUGAAUACAACAGGUAUAGUAGACCUUACAGUGAAAUGCUGAAUACAACAGGUAUAGUAGACCUUACAGUGAAAUGCUGAAUACAACAGGUAUAGUAGACCUUACAGUGAAAUGCUGAAUACAACAGGUAUAGUAGACCUUACAGUGAAAUGCUGAAUACAACAGGUAUAGUAGACCUUACAGUGAAAUGCUGAAUACAACAGGUAUAGUAGACCUUACAGUGAAAUGCUGAAUACAACAGGUGUAGUAGACCUUACAGUGAAAUGCUGAAUACAACAGGUAUAGUAGACCUUACAGUGAAAUGCUGAAUACAACAGGUGUAGUAGACCUUACAGUGAAAUGCUGAAUACAACAGGUGUAGUAGACCUUACAGUGAAAUGCUGAAUACAACAGGUAUAGUAGACCUUACAGUGAAAUGCUGAAUACAACAGGUAUAGUAGACCUUACAGUGAAAUGCUGAAUACAACAGGUAUAGUAGACCUUACAGUGAAAUGCUGAAUACAACAGGUAUAGUAGACCUUACAGUGAAAUGCUGAAUACAACAGGUGUAGUAGACCUUACAGUGAAAUGCUG